rnacentral:snoRNA from 1 species
AUCCUUUUUCUGGUUCAUAAGCAUGAUGAUUGUGUCUUCAUGCAUCUGUGUGGUAUGUGCCUCUCUUAAUCCCUUGUUACGAGGUCGCACAUUACCCGUCUGACA